AUUGAACGCUGGCGGCAUGCUUUACACACGCAAGUCGAACGGUAACAGGCCUUCGGGUGCUGACGAGUGGCGAACGGGUGCGUAAUGCAUCGGAACGUGCCCAGAGGUGGGGGAUAACGCAGCGAAAGCUGUGCUAAUACCGCAUGUGAUCUGAGGAUGAAAGCGGGGGACCAGGCAGCAAUGUUUGGCCUCGCGCCUUUGGAGCGGCCGAUGUCAGAUUAGGUAGUUGGUGGGGUAAAGGCCUACCAAGCCGACGAUCUGUAGCUGGUCUGAGAGGACGACCAGCCACACUGGGACUGAGACACGGCCCAGACUCCUACGGGAGGCAGCAGUGGGGAAUUUUGGACAAUGGGCGCAAGCCUGAUCCAGCAAUGCCGCGUGCGGGAAGAAGGCCUUCGGGUUGUAAACCGCUUUUGUACGGAACGAAAAGGCUCUGGCUAAUACCUGGGGCUGAUGACGGUACCGGAAGAAUAAGCACCGGCUAACUACGUG
rnacentral:rRNA from 1 species